rnacentral:rRNA from 1 species
GAUGAACGCUGGCGGCGUGCCUAAUACAUGCAAGUCGAGCGAACAGACGAGGAGCUUGCUCCUCUGACGUUAGCGGCGGACGGGUGAGUAACACGUGGAUAACCUACCUGUAAGACUGGGAUAACUUCGGGAAACCGGAGCUAAUACCGGAUAAUAUAUUGAACCGCAUGGUUCAAUAGUGAAAGACGGUUUUGCUGUCACUUAUAGAUGGAUCCGCGCCGCAUUAGCUAGUUGGUAAGGUAACGGCUUACCAUGGCAACGAUGCGUAGCCGACCUGAGAGGGUGAUCGGCCACACUGGAACUGAGACACGGUCCAGACUCCUACGGGAGGCAGCAGUAGGGAAUCUUCCGCAGUGGGCGAAAGCCUGACGGAGCAACGCCGCGUGAGUGAUGAAGGUCUUCGGAUCGUAAAACUCUGUUAUUAGGGAAGAACAAAUGUGUAAGUAACUAUGCACGUCUUGACGGUACCUAAUCAGAAAGCCACGGCUAACUACGU